rnacentral:rRNA from 1 species
UACGGGGGGAGCAAGCGUUGUUCGGAUUUACUGGGCGUAAAGGGCGCGUAGGCGGCCAGCGCAAGUCAGUUGUGAAAUCUCCGGGCUUAACUCGGAAAGGUCAACUGAUACUGCGCGGCUAGAGUGCAGAAGGGGCAACUGGAAUUCUCGGUGUAGCGGUGAAAUGCGUAGAUAUCGAGAGGAACACCUGCGGCGAAGGCGGGUUGCUGGGCUGACACUGACGCUGAGGCGCGAAAGCCAGGGGAGCGAACGGG